AACGAACGCUGGCGGCAGGCCUAACACAUGCAAGUCGAACGCCCCGCAAGGGGAGUGGCAGACGGGUGAGUAACACGUGGGAACCUUCCCAACAGUACGGAAUAGCCCAGGGAAACUUGGAGUAAUACCGUAUAUUCCCGAGAGGGGAAAGAUUUAUCGCUGUUGGAUGGGCCCGCGUUGGAUUAGCUAGUUGGUGGGGUAAUGGCCUACCAAGGCGACGAUCCAUAGCUGGUCUGAGAGGAUGAUCAGCCACACUGGGACUGAGACACGGCCCAGACUCCUACGGGAGGCAGCAGUGGGGAAUAUUGGACAAUGGGCGCAAGCCUGAUCCAGCCAUGCCGCGUGAGUGAUGAAGGCCUUAGGGUUGUAAAGCUCUUUCAGUGGGGACGAUAAUGACGGUACCCACAGAAGAAGCCCCGGCUAACUUCGUGCCAGCCGCCGCCGUAAUAC
rnacentral:rRNA from 1 species